rnacentral:rRNA from 1 species
GGUUUCCGUAGGUGAACCUGCGGAGGGAUCAUUA